UAGUCAUUGCGCGCUGGCACCUCUUUCAUUCAGCUUCUUUUCCUUUAGCAGCCGCUGCCACCAGCGUACGGAAACAAGGCGGUAGAACAUCCACCACCACUUCAACUUCUGAUAGAGAUGCCAUUCGCUCUAUCCGUUUUCAGUAAGGCAUGCAGGCUUAACAAAGAUUUGAAUUAUUCAUUUGUGGUCGAGAAUUAGGAAAUGCAUUCAACUGAUCCAAUGGACCAGAGAGCAAAGUUGGAAGAACAGGUGAAGCAGCAUAAUCAAAGAGGCUGUAACUCCAAAAGCCUCAAAAAGUGAUGACAAGGAGUCUUAUGAAGUGAUUCUUGAUGAAGAUUUUCUAAUGGGUCUGGAAUAUGGAGUGCCUCCAGCUUCAGCAAUGGGACUCGGGAUUGAUACGCUGGUGAUGCUUCUAACAAACCCGGCUGCUAUCAGAAAUGUCAUUAUUGUUCCCACGUUAAGAGUCAACAAUAAUAUUAAACUGAUGCAUCUAGCAUUAAAGUUACACUUCAGGCAAUUUAGAUUCCCAAACAAAAUCAGCAGAUGAAGCCCCACGAAAUGCACGAUUAAGACCUGCAAGUCUACAGAUCU